rnacentral:rRNA from 1 species
UGGGGAAAGGCGCAACGACUUUUUGUUCCUCUAACUUUUUACUUUCUUAAAUAAAGGGGUCUCCUUCUUAUUUGUUAGAGACUAGUGGGUGUACUUAGCCUAAAUUGUUUAGUGUUUGGUGGGGGAGGGUUUUGUUUAAAGAUUUUUUAAAGUCCUUUGGUUUUGGGGAACAUAAAAGAUAAGUGGCCUUCUUAAUACAUGCUAGUGGACAAAGUGUGCAAACAGGUGAGGAAACCCGGGAGCUAAGUUUGGGGCUGGGCCGGAGUCGUAUUAGGUCGAAGGUGGUAUAAAAGACCAUCUUGCCGAAGAUGCGCGGCUUUAAACUUGAAGCCACAUUUUCACUGAGACAAGGGGAGAGCUCAGAGGGGGGCUGAAAGCCCUCGAGGCAGCAGUAAAGAAUUUUGUGCAAUAUACGAAAGUAAGACACAGAGAGGACACAUUUACCUAAUCCGUCAAAUUAAGUGCCAGCAGACGCGGUGAAACUUAAGGGUUAGUCUUAUAGGAAAAAGCGUAACGGGUGUGAAAGGUGGCAAUGGUUUUUUAAGAGGUAAAUGGAAUUUUUCUGUAAUGGUUGAAUGUGUUGAUAGAAAAAAGAACUUUAAACGCGAAGGUAAUUUAUCUCUAAGAAUGGGCCCCGCAAGGCUGAAACACGAAAGUAUGGGGAGCAAACAGGAUUAGAGACCCUGGUAGUCCAUACUGUAAAUAAUGAAGAUGGCGUGAGGCGCCCCCAAAAGGGAAGAAACUUCCGCUUGAGUAGUACGAUCGCAAGAUUAAAAUUCAAAAAGCUUGGCUGUUCACUGUUCUAAUUAGAGGAGCGUGUCGUUUAAUUCGAUAGUCCGCGAGAGACCUUACCCAAACUUGAAAAAUAGCCCUUGAACAGGUAUUGCAUGGCCGUCGUCAAUUUGUGUAUAAAACGUAAAACCGGUUUAACCCAGUGGGUUCGUUUAUUGGAUGAAGUCAGGUCUUAUUGUCCUAAUGUUUGGGGAUUAGAUGCGCUACAUUUUUUUAUACAAUGGGAGACUUUGAAAGUGAAACCCUAAAGUAAGAGUUCGGAAGGUGCCUGGAAGAUAACUGAAAGUGGUAUUUAAUAGUAAUCGGAAAGUAGAGCGUUCUGGCGAAACUGGCCCAGUGUUAGUACAAAUUGCCCGUCGCCUUUGCUUAGAGUGGUGGGUUGGACGCCCCUUAUUGUAGGGGUUACGAGCACCUUCGAGGCAGAGCAAGUCGUAACAUAGUGAGGGUGGGGGAACUGGCCCUUG